GCUGAUUAGCUACGUUCGGAUGGGAUAACCGCUGAAAGCAUCUAAGCGGGAAGCUCGCUUCAAGAUGAGAUUUCCAUACACAUAAUGUGUGAGAGGCCCCCAGCCAGACCACUGGGUUGAUAGGCCGGAUGUGGAAGCGAGGACUAAAGACUCGUGAAGCUGACCGGUACUAAUAGGCCAACAACUUACACC
rnacentral:rRNA from 1 species